UACGUAGGGGGCAAGCGUUGUUCGGAAUUACUGGGCGUAAAGGGCGCGUAGGCGGCACGGCAAGUCAGGAGUGAAAGCCCGGGGCUCAACCCCGGAAUGUCUUUUGAAACUGCCGAGCUAGAGUGCGGAAGAGGCAACUGGAAUUCCCAGUGUAGCGGUGAAAUGCGUAGAUAUUGGGAAGAACACCUGAGGCGAAGGCGGGUUGCUGGGCCGACACUGACGCUGAGGCGCGAAAGCCAAGGGAGCGAACGGG
rnacentral:rRNA from 1 species